AGACCAUGUACUACCUGGUCCUCAGUUUCAAUCUCUAAAAACUGAGCCCUCCAGACUUGCUGAAAUCUCCUUUCAUGUGGAUAUGCCUUACUCAGAUACAGACUUCAUCCCGCUUCAGGGAAGCUACUCACAUGAGCAAAGGUGAAAACAGUGCAAAUAUAACACAAGAGAGUUGAGUGAGGUGACCAGUUUGCUUCCUGUGUAUUUCUAAACCAUCAUUACUUGGAAAUCUGCUUUACUCCUUCACAUCUGUUCAGAUCUUAUUCACAAGAAGGUAAUUUUUAUGGAAUUUCCCUGAACUCUUUCCUUUUCUGCCCUUUUUUUGUUGAAGUGC
rnacentral:lncRNA from 1 species